UACGGAGGAUGCAAGCGUUAUCCGGAAUUAUUGGGCGUAAAGCGUCCGUAGGUGGCUAAUCAAGUCUUUUGUCAAAGCGUGCGGCUUAACCGCAUAUGGGCAGGAGAAACUGAUGAGCUAGAGUGCGAUAGGGGUCACAGGAAUUCCCAGUGUAGCGGUGAAAUGCGUAGAUAUUGGGAAGAACACCAGCGGCGAAAGCGUGUGACUGGGUCUGCACUGACACUGAGGGACGAAAGCUAGGGGAGCGAAAGGG
rnacentral:rRNA from 1 species